UUUGAUUCCUUUGUUAUUUUGAACACUCUCGGACAGUUUCCUCUUUCUGCAUAUCUCUGGCCUGAAUCUCUGUUCUCAUUUUGCAUCCAUUCUGUAAGUAUUAUGAUGGUUUUGUAUGACUCGGCUUCUGAUUUUUUUGUUGUCUGCAAACUGUAAACUGUUACUACUGAAGACCAAUCCAGGGACACUGUUUGGGAAUUUACUAAGAAACGUCCAUAGCUCCAUAAGGAACAUUGCAAAGUGAAGAGUGAAGCAUUCCUGACUCUACGGCUUCCAGUCAUAAUGGGAAAUUGCCUCAGAGGGUGGCCUCAGUCUACUCCCGGCAGUCGGGACAGAAGAGGAGGGGCAAGGAGAGGUUGCACAGUGCUGGCUUUAAGGAGUAGUAGAUGGCCUGCAGGUGCCCAUCACCACCCCCAUCACCAUCAUCCGCCACAUCAUCAUAUAGGUCCACAUCAUGGCCCACAUGGACACUUUGGACAUCAUGGACAUCAUGGACAUCACGGUCAUCAUGGACAUCACGGACAUCAUGGACAUCACGGACAUCAUGGCCACCAUUAAUCCUGUAUAGGAAUCUCACAGCACUGAAGUGAAAUGAAAAUAUGCAAGAAGAUUGUCAGGCUACAUUUACCUCAUAUCGAUUUAUAAACUGACAAAUCUGUUGAAUUGUAUGAUAUAUUUUUAAUGCACUAUAUUAAUGGAUUGUUGCUUAUUUAUUACAUAAAUGGUUUCCUAUAAUUUGUUCUUUUUCCAACAAAAUUGCUUAAAAAGCAUUCAACAUUAUGAGCCACAAAAUUCUGGCCAAAAUAAAAUUGCUAUUUCUAAAUGUAUCCUUAAAACCAGCAAAUAGCUUUUCCACUAUGAAGAGAUUGACAUUUCUUUGGAUGACCCCUUUUUUUAUUUAUUUUAUAAGUGUUAAAUUCAUCCUUUUUCCAAGAAAAGGUGUUGGGGGAAGAAUAGUGUCACAUCUUGUACCUUCUUUUGGUGUCUCCCAGCAUAUUUGAUGCUAUCAUACAAUAUACAAAUCACCAUGCCAAAUGGUCCCCAAAUUCAAACACCAUAUAGAAUGAUGCGCAAAUAACAAUGGCAUGUGUUUUCUAAAUAAUGGUUACAAAUAGUUACAUAAAUAAUUAUAAUAUACAGAGUGCCCAAAGAGCAGUACCAUAUAAUGUAAAUACCACCAUACAAUGUUUGAAUAUAUAUAUACAUAUAUUUGUGUUGGUCACAAGGUGACAGGCCAUCUGAAGCUCCCCUUUUACUAGGGAUACUCGCACACACCUAAUACAGUGAUCCCUCAACUUACAAUGGCCUCAACAUACAAUAGUUUCAACAUACAAUGGUCUUUUCUGGAUCAUUGUAACUUGAAACCAGACUCAACAUACAAUGCUACAGAUAGUCCAGAUCUGCAAAACGUGCCACAACUGGAGGAAUUGACCAUUUUCAGAUCAGAAUUGGCAUUUUACUGGUAAAUCACCUCUAUUACUGAAGCGUAUGCACUGACUGGUGUCUGGUAGUGCCCCCUACAGUACAGGGAGGAACUACAAGUUCUGUACUACUCCUUACCUGUGCCAGGGUUAGCUGCUCCUUUGGACACCAAGUAAGGGCGGCUCCAUUUGGGACACUAUGUGUACUGUAUAGGACCCUGAAGAAGCUCCUGUUCUCUACAUAAAACAUUGUUUCCC